rnacentral:rRNA from 1 species
CGUAGGCAGCGAGCGUUGUUCGGAGUUACUGGGCGUAAAGGGUGUGUAGGCGGUUGUUUAAGUUUGGUGUGAAAUCUCCCGGCUCAACUGGGAGGGUGCGCCGAAUACUGAAUGACUAGAGUACGGGAGAGGAAAGUGGAAUUCCUGGUGUAGCGGUGAAAUGCGUAGAUAUCAGGAGGAACACCGGUGGUGUAGACGGCUUUCUGGACCGUAACUGACGCUGAAACACGAAAGCGUGGGUAGCAAACAGGAUUAGAUACCCUGGUAGUCCACGCCCUAAACGAUGCAUAUUUGGUGUGGGCAGUUCAUUCUGUCCGUGCCGGAGCUAACGCGUUAAAUAUGCCGCCUGGGGAGUACAGUCGCAAGGCUG